AGGAGAGCCAUGUGCUGGCCACUGCUCUCGCCACAGAAGCCUUCUGGAUCCAGUCUCCAAAACUCAUCUCCCACCUGCGCCACACAGACAAAGACUCUCGUACUGGCAAUGGAAGCAGUUUCCAGGGACCACCCACAUACCUAGGAUUACAGGCAUCUGUGUCUGCAAGGUGACGUACUCAUGUACCACCUGGUGAACAUGUGAAAAUAGCAUCACCUAAAACAAACGGCUUGCUAGUGCAAAAAAAGACUGUCAAACUAUGAAGGUUAAGGAACUGCAAAGCUCUCUGAAAUGUGGUGAGACCAACACCAGAGUGAGAAGAGUCUGGGGGAGAAGACUGGAGGCAGACCAGCGAGGAGACUGCUGCAGUAAUCGUGGUGCAAAAUGAUGAAGACCUGAGUUAAAGCAUUCGCAGUGAAGAUUACGAGAAACGCAGUGACUGACUGGAGAGAUAUAAACAGGAGAAAGAAGGUUCAUCAUCUGGGAAAAUCAAGUAAGAGAAGUGCCAGACCCAUAGAUGAUGGAAAAAGCAGAAGGCUGCAGUAAGGUGCUAGACCAGCCGUGGGC